rnacentral:rRNA from 1 species
CCCCUAGAUGUCCUGGGCCGCACGCGCAAUACAAUGUAAAGUUCAGAAAGCAUAUCCUGUUCCGGAAGGCAAUGGGUAAUCUUUUCAAUAUUUUACGUGUUAGGGAUCGAUCUUUGCAAUUAUAGAUCUUGAACGAGGAAUACCUAGUAAGUGCAGCUCAUCAGGCUGUACUGAUUACGUCACUGCCCUUUGUACACACCGCCCGUCGCUCCUACCGAUUUCGAGUGGUCCGGUGAAUCUUUUGGAAUUAGAGUGCAAACUCAAACUAAGAUCGAUAAACCUUAUCACUUAGAGGAAGGAGAAGUCGUAACA